GAGUGCUGCGUUCUUUCCAACCCUUAGAAAAGUUGAAAAUUGUAGUAGCAUCUCAUUUUGUCCUAUGAUUCAACAAAUAUUGUCCCUAAGUGAGAAAGUGAGCCAGUAAGAAGUCUCCUGGAAGUGCUGCUAUGUAACCACUUUAUUCAGCCUUCUCUAGACAUUUUAUUGAAGUCUGCUGAGUGCCAGAAUCUCUGAGGGAGAGACAGAAAAUUCAAUGAGAGAAAAUCAUUGAUCAGCUGCCUCCUGCAUGUCCCCCACUACGGAUCGUGCCUGCAACCUGGAGAUAAUGGAAGAGAGACGGAAAGACAGAAAUAUCGAUGUGAAACACAUUGACUGGUUGCCUCUUGCAUGCACCCUGACCAGGCCCUGGCUGAGGAGGAGCCUGCAACUGAGGAAGGACAAGAAAGAUGUCUGGCCUAACAACUACUCUCCUGUGUACAGUCCUUCCUUCUUGAGGCUAGUGUGUGACCUCUUCUUUCAUACUGCUCUCUUCGAUCUUGGGUGUUACU